rnacentral:rRNA from 1 species
UACAGAGGUCGCAAGCGUUGUUCGGAUUCAUUGGGCGUAAAGGGUGCGUAGGUGGCUUCGUAAGUCGGGUGUGAAAUCCCGGGGCUUAACCCCGGGACUGCAUUCCAUACUGCGGUGCUUGAGGACUGGAGAGGAGACUGGAAUUUACGGUGUAGCAGUGAAAUGCGUAGAGAUCGUAAGGAAGACCAGUGGCGAAGGCGGGUCUCUGGACAGUUACUGACGCUGAGGCGCGAAGGCCAGGGGAGCAAACGGG